GGCCUCUCCCGUGGGGCUGGGGAAGUCCCUUUUCUCCUUAGCCAGGGCUGGAGGCCAAGAUCAGCCCUUGAGGGUCAUUGUCAGGGCUGCCACAAGCUGGCAGCCUUGUUUUCCUGCCUCAGACAUCU